UGCAGUCGAGCGGGGAAGGGUAGCUUGCUACCUGACCUAGCGGCGGACGGGUGAGUAAUGCUUAGGAAUCUGCCUAUUAGUGGGGGACAACAUUCCGAAAGGAAUGCUAAUACCGCAUACGCCCUACGGGGGAAAGCAGGGGAUCUUCGGACCUUGCGCUAAUAGAUGAGCCUAAGUCAGAUUAGCUAGUUGGUGGGGUAAAGGCCUACCAAGGCGACGAUCUGUAGCGGGUCUGAGAGGAUGAUCCGCCACACUGGGACUGAGACACGGCCCAGACUCCUACGGGAGGCAGCAGUGGGGAAUAUUGGACAAUGGGCGCAAGCCUGAUCCAGCCAUGCCGCGUGUGUGAAGAAGGCCUUUUGGUUGUAAAGCACUUUAAGCGAGGAGGAGGCUACUUGGAUUAAUACUCUAGGAUAGUGGACGUUACUCGCAGAAUAAGCACCGGCUAACUCUGUGCCAGCAGCCGCGGUAAUACAGAGGGUGCGAGCGUUAAUCGGAUUUACUGGGCGUAAAGCGUGCGUAGGCGGCUUUUUAAGUCGGAUGUGAAAUCCCUGAGCUUAACUUAGGAAUUGCAUUCGAUACUGGGAAGCUAGAGUAUGGGAGAGGAUGGUAGAAUUCCAGGUGUAGCGGUGAAAUGCGUAGAGAUCUGGAGGAAUACCGAUGGCGAAGGCAGCCAUCUGGCCUAAUACUGACGCUGAGGUACGAAAGCAUGGGGAGCAAACAGGAUUAGAUACCCUGGUAGUCCAUGCCGUAAACGAUGUCUACUAGCCGUUGGGGCCU
rnacentral:rRNA from 1 species